rnacentral:rRNA from 1 species
GAUGAACGCUGGCGGCGUGCCUAAUACAUGCAAGUCGAGCGAACGGACGAGAAGCUUGCUUCUCUGAUGUUAGCGGCGGACGGGUGAGUAACACGUGGAUAACCUACCUAUAAGACUGGGAUAACUUCGGGAAACCGUAGCUAAUACCGGAUAAUAUUUUGAACCGCAUGGUUCAAAAGUGAAAGACGGUCUUUCUGUCACUUAUAGAUGGAUCCGCGCUGCAUUAGCUAGUUGGUAAGGUAACGGCUUACCAAGGCAACGAUGCAUAGCCGACCUGAGAGGGUGAUCGGCCACACGGGAACUGGGACACGGUCCAGACUCCUACGGGAGGCAGCAGUAGGGAAUGUUCCGCAAUAGGCGAAAGCCUGACGGAGCAACGCCGCGUGAGUGAUGACGGUCUUCGGAUCGUAAAACUCUGUUAUUAGGGAAGAACAUAUGUGUAAGUAACUGUGCACAUCUUGACGGUACCUAAUCAGAAAGCCACGGCUAACUACGUG